rnacentral:rRNA from 1 species
CAGGCCUAACACAUGCAAGUCGAACGAGAUCUUCGGAUCUAGUGGCGCACGGGUGCGUAACGCGUGGGAAUCUGCCCUUGGGUUCGGAAUAACCAGGAGAAAUUCUGGCUAAUACCGGAUGAUGACGUAAGUCCAAAGAUUUAUCGCCCAGGGAUGAGCCCGCGUAGGAUUAGCUAGUUGGUGUGGUAAGGGCGCACCAAGGCGACGAUCCUUAGCUGGUCUGAGAGGAUGAUCAGCCACACUGGGACUGAGACACGGCCCAGACUCCUACGGGAGGCAGCAGUGGGGAAUAUUGGACAAUGGGCGAAAGCCUGAUCCAGCAAUGCCGCGUGAGUGAUGAAGGCCUUAGGGUUGUAAAGCUCUUUUACCCGGGAUGAUAAUGACAGUACCGGGAGAAUAAGCUCCGGCUAACUCCGUGCCAGCAGCCGGGGUAAU